rnacentral:rRNA from 1 species
UGAGGAAUAUUGGUCAAUGGGCGAGAGCCUGAACCAGCCAAGUCGCGUGAGGGAAGACGGUCCUAUGGAUUGUAAACCUCUUUUGUCAGGGAGCAAGGAGCGCCACGAGUGGCGCUUCGGAGAGUACCUGAAGAAAAAGCAUCGGCUAACUCCGUGCC